GAUGAAGAACGUAGCGAAAUGCGAUAAGUAAUGUGAAUUGCAGAAUUCAGUGAACCAUCGAAUCUUUGAACGCACAUUGCGCCCGGCAGUAAUCUGCCGGGCAUGCCUGUCCGAGCGUCAUUUCUGCCCUCGAGCCUGUCCAGCAUCUAGGUGCUGUUCCGGCCCGGCGUUGGGGCACUACGGGAAGCCUCGUGCUAUCCCCCGUAGGCCCCGAAAUGAAGUGGCGGUCCUGCCGCGGCUCCCCCUGCGUAGUAUUACAGCUCGCUUCGGGACCCGGUGGAGGCCUGCCGUCAAACCUUACUCUCUAAGUUUGACCUCGGAUCAGGUAGGGUUACCCGCUGAACUUAAGCAUAUCAUAGCGGAGGA
rnacentral:misc_RNA from 1 species